rnacentral:lncRNA from 1 species
UACUGUGCUGAAAUACACAGUGUUUGCCAUGCUGUGUCUGUGAGCUUGGACUCGCUACUGUUCUGUUAUUUUUCCAAGUGAUAAGAGGGAGUUUGAAGACUAGAGGGAAGAAUACAAGAUUUCCCCUGCCUCAUGCUUCCCUCCGAAGAGCCUUUCCUAGCACCGCAACAGGAGAGUGGAGGAUGAGGGAUGGAGGUUGGGCUCCAGCAUCGACAGCGAUCUCUGCUAUGGCUUGAUAGGAAAAAAAUAAAAAUAAAAGGACAUUCAGUCAGGA